rnacentral:rRNA from 1 species
ACGAGUGCCCCAAGCGUUGUCCGGAUUUAUUGGGUUUAAAGGGUGCGUAGGCGGCUUUGUAAGUCAGUGGUGAAAUAUGGCAGCUCAACUGUCAGGGUGCCAUUGAUACUGCAGAGCUUGAGUACAGAUGAGGUAGGCGGAAUUGACGGUGUAGCGGUGAAAUGCUUAGAUAUCGUCAAGAACACCGAUAGCGAAGGCAGCUUACUGGGCUGUAACUGACGCUGAGGCACGAAAGUGUGGGGAUCAAACAGGA